rnacentral:lncRNA from 1 species
CACCAUAUCACUUUCUCCCUCUCUUCACUCUCUCCCUCUAUUGCUCUUCUUUCUUUCUUUUUCAAUAUUCUCUUUGGGGGCAAAGGUGAUCAAACUUCUUUGGGGUAAAAUAGUGAAAAGCCGACAUGGGGAAGUGAUCGACCCUUGAGUUAAGUUUAAAUUUAUUUUUUUGUACUCCAUAAACUUUUUACCGUGGGUAAAAAGAUUCUUCUUGGGGUGUAAAAAAAAUCAAAUUUAAAUUUAGCCCAAGAGUUGAUGAUGUAUUUUCCCAUGAAGGCUGCUCACUAUUUUACCCCAAGAUGAUUGGACACCUUAUACCCCAAAGAAGAUGAAAAUAAGUAGUGAAUUUGAAUAAAUUAUUGUAAGAAUUAUUGUAUUGUAUGAAUUAUUAAUAAAAUGAGAUAUUGUUAUAUGCCUCAAUUUUGUUCACUCCUUUUUAUUUUAUACUUGCUUUUAUAUUCUAAUUUUGUAUUUAAUGAAUAAAUAUUAAUUUAGUUCAUUUAA